rnacentral:rRNA from 1 species
GACGAACGCUGGCGGCGUGCUUAACACAUGCAAGUCGAACGGAAAGGCCCUGCUUUUGUGGGGUGCUCGAGUGGCGAACGGGUGAGUAACACGUGAGUAACCUGCCCUUGACUUUGGGAUAACUUCAGGAAACUGGGGCUAAUACCGGAUAGGAGCUCCUGCUGCAUGGUGGGGUUGGAAAGUUUCGGCGGUUGGGGAUGGACUCGCGGCUUAUCAGCUUGUUGGUGGGGUAGUGGCUUACCAAGGCUUUGACGGGUAGCCGGCCUGAGAGGGUGACCGGCCACAUUGGGACUGAGAUACGGCCCAGACUCCUACGGGAGGCAGCAGUGGGGAAUAUUGCACAGUGGGCGGAAGCCUGAUGCAGCAACGCCGCGUGCGGGAUGACGGCCUUCGGGUUGUAAACCGCUUUCGCCUGUGACGAAGCGUGAGUGACGGUAAUGGGUAAAGAAGCACCGGCUAACUACGUG